rnacentral:rRNA from 1 species
UGGGGAAUAUUGGACAAUGGGCGAAAGCCUGAUCCAGCCAUGCCGCGUGUGUGAAGAAGGUCUUCGGAUUGUAAAGCACUUUAAGUUGGGAGGAAGGGCAGUAAGCGAAUACCUUGCUGUUUUGACGUUACCGACAGAAUAAGCACCGGCUAACUCUGUGCCAGCAGCCGCGGUAAUACAGAGGGUGCGAGCGUUAAUCGGAUUUACUGGGCGUAAAGCGUGCGUAGGCGGCUAAUUGAGUAGGAUGUGAAAUCCCCGAGCUUAACUUGGGAAUUGCAUUCGAUACUGGUUAGCUAGAGUGUGGGAGAGGAUGGUAGAAUUCCAGGUGUAGCGGUGAAAUGCGUAGAGAUCUGGAGGAAUACCGAUGGCGAAGGCAGCCAUCUGGCCUAACACUGACGCUGAGGUACGAAAGCAUGGGGAGCAAACAGG